rnacentral:rRNA from 1 species
UGCCAGCAGCCGCGGUAAUACGGAGGGGGUUAGCGUUGUUCGGAUUUACUGGGCUUAAAGAGUUCGUAGGUGGUUGAAAAAGUUGAUGGUGAAAUCCCAGAGCUUAACUCUGGAACUGCCAUCAAAACUUUUCAGCUAGAGUAUGAUAGAGGAAAGCAGAAUUUCUAGUGUAGAGGUGAAAUUCGUAGUUAUUAGAAAGAAUACCAAUCGCGAAGGCAGCUUUCUGGAUCAUUACUGACACUGAGGAACGAAGGCAUGGGUAGCGAAGAGGAUUAGAUA